rnacentral:lncRNA from 1 species
UGGUUGCUCACUGGUCAUUAAUUCAUUAACAUACGCAUAUAUAUGUACAUACACAGAGACAUUAUAUUACAUGAUCACAGACUACUCAGUACAGCAAGCACAAAAACUAAGCCUGCCGUACGUCCUACGUGAAGAAUUCUAAUUCUUCAUAGUUUAUACCCACAUUUCAAAGCAUAGUUGAGGAGAUCGGUGAACUCCUCCAUAGAAAUGAACCCGUCCUUGUUGGCAUCGGCGUGGCAGAGGGCUCUCCAAGCUCUGAAAGAACCCCAACGCGACCCGAACUUGUCGAAGGCUGCCUUCAGCUCUUCCUUGGAAAUCCUGCCAUCUCCAUCUUUGUCCAAUCUUUUGAACUCAGCCAUUACCUGCUCCUUUGUCCAUGGAAUUUGGACCUUCCUGUAAACAACCGCGUCCUCCAUGUUGUUCCACAACUGAACAAGGGUCUCCCUAACCAUAUUUAUCUUCAAAUUCUAGCUUAGCUUCUGUGAAACACUUGGGUUACUUAAACCUAAUAAAAACCAAAUUUUUCGGGCUUGGAUCGAAAGACCCAUAAAAGAAACACCACAAGAAAAGGGUUUCCUUGAAAAAAAAAACACUACAAGAAAAGGGUGCCUUAAACAAUGCAAGAGAGAAGGUUUGGACUUGCAGUGUAAGAUAGGUUAGAGAGUGGCAGCUUAUAUAGCAAUAUUGUGCCGGCUAGGGCCCCCUUAGCUAUCUGUUUUGAAUGAAAUAAAAGUUGACAAUUCCCAUCCGUC